AGUGGGGAAUAUUGCGCAAUGGGCGGAAGCCUGACGCAGCGACGCCGCGUGAGGGAUGACGGCCUUCGGGUUGUAAACCUCUUUCAGCAGGGACGAAUUUAGACGGUACCUGUAGAAGAAGCACCGGCCAACUACGUGCCAGCAGCCGCGGUAAUACGUAGGGUGCGAGCGUUGUCCGGAAUUAUUGGGCGUAAAGAGCUCGUAGGCGGUCUGUCGCGUCGAAUGUGAAAACCCGGGGCUCAACUCCGGGCUUGCAUUCGAUACGGGCAGGCUAGAGUUCGGUAGGGGAGUCUGGAAUUCCUGGUGUAGCGGUGAAAUGCGCAGAUAUCAGGAGGAACACCGGUGGCGAAGGCGGGACUCUGGGCCGAUACUGACGCUGAGGAGCGAAAGCGUGGGGAGCGAA
rnacentral:rRNA from 1 species